CGCGUAGGCGGGAUGGCAAGUCGGUCGUGAAAUCCCUGGGCUCAACUCAGGGGGUCGGCCGAUACUGCCGUUCUUGAGGGAUGCAGAGGAGACUGGAAUUCCCGGUGUAGCGGUGAAAUGUGUAGAGAUCGGGAGGAACACCGGUGGCGAAGGCGGGUCUCCGGGCAUUCCCUGACGCUGAGGCGCGAAAGCGUGGGGAGCAAACG
rnacentral:rRNA from 1 species